UACGGAGGGGGCUAGCGUUGUUCGGAAUUACUGGGCGUAAAGCGCGCGUAGGCGGCCCGGUAAGUCCGUUGUGAAAGUCAAAGGCUCAACCUUUGAACGCCGAUGGAUACUGCCGGGCUAGAGUCCGGAAGAGGCGAGUGGAAUUCCUGGUGUAGCGGUGGAAUGCGCAGAUAUCAGGAGGAACACCAAUAGCGAAGGCAGCUCGCUGGGACGGUACUGACGCUGAGGCGCGAAAGCGUGGGGAGCGAACAGG
rnacentral:rRNA from 1 species